rnacentral:rRNA from 1 species
ACUCCUACGGGAGGCAGCAGUGGGAAUAUUGGACAAUGGGCGCAAGCCUGAUCCAGCAAUGCCGCGUGCAGGAAGAAGGCCUUCGGGUUGUAAACUGCUUUUGUCAGGGAAGAAAUCCUUUGGGCUAAUACCUCGGAGGGAUGACGGUACCUGAAGAAUAAGCACCGGCUAACUACGUGCCAGCAGCCGCGGUAAUACGUAGGGUGCGAGCGUUAAUCGGAAUUACUGGCGUAAAGCGUGUGCAGGCGGCUUUGCAAGACAGAGGUGAAAUCCCCGGGCUCAACCUGGGAACUGCCUUUGUGACUGCAAGGCUAGAGUACGGCAGAGGGGAUGGAAUUCCGCGUGUAGCAGUGAAAUGCGUAGAUAUGCGGAGGAACACCGAUGGCGAAGGCAAUCCCCUGGGCCUGUACUGACGCUCAUGCACGAAAGCGUGGGGAGCAAACAGGAUUAGAUACCCUGGUAGGCUCU